rnacentral:rRNA from 1 species
CAGGUUUACCAUAGAUGGUUAAAGUCCAGUCAUUUUUAAAAAAAUUAUAUAUAAAUAGUUGAGUAAAACCUAUUGGUUUGAAGAGAGUGGAACCAACCUCUAAGGCUAAAUAUUGUAAAGGAGCGAUAGUGAACCAGUAACGUAAGUGAAAGUUGAAAAGAGUGCAAAGGCACAGUGAAAUAGAUUCUGAAAUCGGAAAUAGUAAAGCAUGUGAAGUUAAAUAAAACAACACAUUACCUUUUGUAUAAUGGAUUUGCGAGUACUAAAUUUAUGCAUGAUUAAAGUCAUAGUGAAAACGAGUCUUAAUAGGGCGUUAGUAUAUGUUUAGUGGACCCGAAACCAAGUGAUCUAUUUAUGAGCAGAUUGAAGCUAAAUUAAUCUUUAGUGGAGGAUCGAACCAGUGUCUGUUGCAAUAGACUUGGAUGACUUGUGAAUAGCGGUGAAAUGCCAAUCGAACUUGGAUAUAGCUGGUUAUCUUCGAAAAGUAUUUAGGUACUGUGUAUUAAUAUAUAAUCUUUUAGCGGUAGAGCACUAAUUUGAUACUUGGCUUCUCACUGAGUUGUACUUUAUCAAUUUAAACUUCAAAUGCUUAAAGUUAAUUAAUGCAAACAGUCUUAGAGGGUAAGCUUCUAGGACAAGAGGGAAACAACCCAGAUCUAAAGUUAAGGUCAUAGAAUUCAUUUAAGUGUGAAAAGAAUAAUUUAAACAAAGACAUCUAGUAAGUAGGCUUGGAAACAGCCACCUUCUAAGAAUCACGUAACAGUGUACUAGACAAAUGUUUUUAUUAUCUGAAAAUUUAGGUGGCUAAAAAUGAAUACCGAAACUUAGAUUUAAUUUUAAUAAAAUUAGAGGUAGAAGAUCGUGUUGUAAAUAUAUUAUAUAGGUAACUAUUAUCAACAUUGACAAUGCAAAUAUGAGUAACUAUAAAAUCUUUUAAAAAAGAUUCACCUAUAGCCCAAGGUUUUCAAUACUAUGAUUAACAUUGUUGUCAUUUAAUCAGUCCCUAAGAUUAAGCUGAAAAGUGAAUAUUGAUGGGUAUUUCGAGUCAGACGUUUUAUCUCUAUAGAACCGCGAAAAAAGAUCGAAAAGUUUAUUUCUAAAAUAAACAAUACUGUACUAAAACUAACACAAGUGGGCCAGAUGAGUAUUCUAAGGUGAUGGGAGAAUUAUCCAUAAGGAACUCGGCAAAAUUUUUCCGUACGUUCGCAAGAAGGAAAUCCGAUAAGGAAACAUAAAAUCGGGGAGGGCAACUGUUUACUAAAAACACAACUUCAAGCUAAGAUUCAUAUCAUCGUAUUUGAAGUGACUCCUGCCCAAUGAUUGUAACUGAAAAUUCUUGGUGUUUUUGCUAGGAAUAUAAGGUCAAUUAAAUGGCGGCCAUAACUCUGAUGGUCCUAAGGUAGCGCAAUCAAUAUUCAAUUAAUUGUUGAAAAGUAUGAAAGGAGUAAUGAUCUUCCCACUGUCUCAUGGAUAAACCCAGUGAAAUUGAAAUCGUAGUGAAGAUGCUACGUAAAUGCUGAAAGACAAGAAGACCCUAGGAGCUUUACUGUUAGGUUAUAGUGUAAAUUAAUAUACGUUGUGCAGAAUAAUUGGUAGUUUAUAUCCAUUUAAUAAUUUGAUAUAAUAAACGAAAUGUGAGAUACCAAUCUUCGUAUUCUAAAAUUUACUCAUGAAAAGAAAAGUAUAUCCAAGACAGUUUUGUUGGGGCGACAGCCUUCUAAAAAGUAACGAAGGCUCUCAAAGGUCAAUUCAUUCUCAUUAGAAAUGAGAAAUUGAGUGUAAGAGCAUAAAUUGGCCUGACUGUGAGAUCGAUGGAUCGAACAGGGACGGAAGUCGGAUCUAGUGAACCACAUAGUAUCUUUGGAACUCUAUGUGAUAAUAAACUAAGUUACCCUAGGGAUAACAGUGUAAUAUCUGGCAAGAGUCCUUAUCGACCCAGAUGUUUGCCACCUCAGAUUUGGGGCCAUUUUACAAAUACAAUAUAUAUAAUUAAAAUAUAAGUAAUUAAAAUGUAUGAAUAAGCUAUAUGCUGGAACGUUUAACUUUAUUAAAUUAUCUUAAAUAAUCAGCAGGGAAGUUUUAAUACCCAUAUUAAAACCCCUCAACGACUACACGCUUAUCACUAAUAAAAGUGAAUGAUAUAGUCUAAUCUCUGUCUCUUAU